CACGUAGGGUCCGAGCGUUGUCCGGAAUUACUGGGCGUAAAGGGCGCGUAGGCGGCCUGGCAAGUGGAAGGUGAAAUCCCUCGGCUUAACCGAGGAACUGCCCUCCAAACUGCUUGGCUUGAGACCGGAGAGGUGAGUGGAAUUCCGAGUGUAGAGGUGAAAUUCGUAGAUAUUCGGAAGAACACCAGUGGCGAAGGCGGCUCACUGGACUGGUAUUGACGCUGAGGUGCGAAAGCGUGGGGAGCAAACAGG
rnacentral:rRNA from 1 species